CGAGUUUACAACUCCCAAACCCCUGUGAACAUACCUUAUGUUGCCUCGGCGGAUCAGCCCGCGCCCCGUAAAAAGGGACGGCCCGCCGCAGGAACCCUAAACUCUGUUUUUAGUGGAACUUCUGAGUAUAAAAAACAAAUAAAUCAAAACUUUCAACAACGGAUCUCUUGGUUCUGGCAUCGAUGAAGAACGCAGCAAAAUGCGAUAAGUAAUGUGAAUUGCAGAAUUCAGUGAAUCAUCGAAUCUUUGAACGCACAUUGCGCCCGCCAGUAUUCUGGCGGGCAUGCCUGUUCGAGCGUCAUUUCAACCCUCAAGCCCAGCUUGGUGUUGGGAGCUGCAGUCCUGCUGCACUCCCCAAAUACAUUGGCGGUCACGUCGAGCUUCCAUAGCGUAGUAAUUUACAUAUCGUUACUGGUAAUCGUCGCGGCCACGCCGUUAAACCCCAACUUCUGAAUGUUGACCUCGGAUCAGGUAGGAAUACCGCUGAACUUAAGCAUA
rnacentral:rRNA from 1 species